AGCUUUGCGCAGUGGCGGGAUCGUAGCCAAUGAGGUUUAUUUGAGGCACGAUUAUUGCUAAUUGAAAAAAAUGUACCAGUUUCAGUAUUACCUUUUCACUCAUUGCUGGUCCAAUAGAAAUGCACAAACAGCAUUUAGAGGCAUCUUUUAAAAAUCUUUCAUGUAAACAAUAUGCCACCAAAGA
rnacentral:snRNA from 1 species